rnacentral:rRNA from 1 species
GACGAACGCUGGCGGCGUGCUUAACACAUGCAAGUCGAACGGUGACGCACCUUCGGGUGCUGAUCAGUGGCAAACGGGUGAGUAACACGUGGGCAACCUGCCCCUGACUCUGGGAUAACUCCUCGAAAGAGGUGCUAAUACCGGAUAUCACCUCCCUCGGCAUCGGGGGAGGUCGAAAGUUUUUCGGUCAGGGAUGGGCCCGCGGCCUAUCAGCUAGUUGGUGGGGUAACGGCCCACCAAGGCGACGACGGGUAGCCGGCCUGAGAGGGCGACCGGCCACACUGGGACUGAGACACGGCCCAGACUCCUACGGGAGGCAGCAGUGGGGAAUAUUGCUCAAUGGGCGAAAGCCUGACGCAGCAACGCCGCGUGAGGGAUGACGGCCUUCGGGUUGUAAACCUCUUUCAGCGGGGACGAAGCGAAAGUGACUGUACCCGCAGAAGAAGCGCCAGCUAACUACGUGCCAGCCGCCGCAGUAAUAC